GAUAUAUACUUUUUUUUUUUUUUUUUAAACAAGAUUUUAGCGUGCUAAAUUUUGGAGAAAUUCAUCCAUAAACCUGCCUGAAGCUUUGAAUCUUCAUAUAGAAUAAGGCUGAAGUAACCUUGAAUUUCUCAAUUCAGGAACUUUCUAGGGUUAUCUGGUUUAAGGUAGAAUAUUAUUUAAAAGAUUUCUGCUUUCCAAUGAACCAUGCAGUUUUUCCUCACCGUUAAGACAAAUACUGAAUAUAGGCAAAGCAUUAUUUCUAUACAAUUUUUCCUGAAUUAUAUUUAGUUAUUAAGCUAUUUUGGAGAGUUGGACUUGGCUUGAGUUAUAUGCAAAAACAAAUGCCACUAAGAACUUCAGGUCUGUGAUAAAUCUGCACCAGACUAUCCCUGGAACAAGAAUGGAGGGUUUUGGCACAGAUUCCAUCUGUUUUAAGAAUCAGGCAAGAGCACACCUGAAAAUAAUCCUAUGCAGCUGUUGCUAUUUCUGAAUGCAAAGCCUCCUUCUUUGGGAUUAUGUCUUUAUUACAGCUAUGAAAAAUUGUAGAAGAUUCAUGGGAAAUAAUUACAAUAAUUAAAACUUUAAAGCACUGCUUCAGAUAGAUUGCUCAGGCACAGAGACAUUUAAGCUUGCUGUAGGAAGUGUAUAUCUUUUCAGUCAGAAAAUAUCUUAAAUAAAACAUGCUUUCCAUGCUUAUCAGAAUUACUAUUUAUAACUAUUUGUUUCUCUUCACUUUUUGACUGGAGAGGUGCAUUCUAUUCACGACACAGAGAAGGUAAGACUCUGAACGAAGUAAUGCUAAUGCAGUCAUUCUUUAACAUACACUGGGAUGACGAAGGCAACAAAACCCUCUCUGACAGCAGGGCAAAUAGUUUGAGAGAUCCAAAGCAGGGAAGUUAACAACAAGGAAAGGGGCAUAAAACAGAACUGCAGAAGCAGAGAAUCCCCAUGUGAAAAUCACUCUUGGGUGGCUCAGCCCAUUCUAUUUUUCACCUUAAAUGCAUAUAUGUCUGGAAAACAUAUCUCCUUAGAGAAAUGAUCAGGCAAUAGAAGGUCAACAUACCUAAGCUGAAUUCAAUCUUGAGAUUUAUUUCUAGUGAGUGUUCUACAUCUGUAUGAAUAAUAGCCAGUUCAUCACAAUAUUAACAGCCCAGAGCCCUUCAAGAACAAUCCAAAACUAGAGCAGCAGAGGAACUGUGGAAGAAGUUAGAGCACCAGAGCUCUGGGAGCUAGGGAGUUGUGCAACACAUGCUUGCAAUACCAUUGGCUCUAGAUACCACUCUGAGACCAUCCAUUUCCAAGUUUUCUAAAAAAAGUGGAAUAUAAAAAUGGUAAGACAUAAGCAGUGGUAUUUCAGCAGAACUCCCUUUCCUUGCUCACAGCCAUCAUACAGUAACCAGUUUCUGAGAUGAUAUAUUUGAUAUCCUAUGGAACUUCAGUAGUUGAAGUCAGUGGAGUUAUUUACAGUAUAAAUCAGACUCAAUCUUGCUCUGUUUCCUGUAGUUUUAAUACAGUUAUUACUUUAUUUCUACAACUAAUUUCUCACAGCUGUAGUAUUUAUUCAAAAUCCUUGGCUGCUUGCUUCACUUCUUUCUGCUGCCUGUACAAUUUGAUCCUCUGGAGUAUACUACUUCAAAACUGCAACACACACACACCAGUUGAGGGACAUUUUUCUCCUUAUUGCUCCAAAUGAAAUGAUUUCUGCUCAGGUAACUAAAUAUAGAUUUCCUAUAUACAUACAGAUAAGAUAAGGUACAUAUAGAUAAGAUAGAUACACGCUUAUUUAUCUAUCUUUGUCAGUACAUAUAUAGAAGAACGCUCUCUGACAUCAAGACCACAAGCAAGGGGCCUGAACAGAAGCCAGAGUGUAACAGAUUAGACAUUACAGACCAUCAGUGAGGUAAAGGCCAGUAGUUUAUCAGCUCCUCAGUGUUAUUUUUGUUUGUCAUGCUAGUAUUGUUCUAGGUCUCUGAUGUGUCAACUGCAGUCAGGAAACUAGUCAACAGUGGUGUGCCCUUGACAAAAAAGUACAUGUAGUAACAGUAAAAAAUAAUUACUUUGAAGAUGGAGUAAGAGCAGUAAUUGUUCAUUUCUCGGGUGCUUGUGGAGAAAUCUGUUUUUAGAAGCAGUAACACUAAAGGAAUGACCUAACAGCAGUUUCUCAUCUUCUCUCUUUGUUCAAAUUUUUGAACACAAAUGUUCAAGAUUCAGCAAGUAUUUAAGUCUUCAUUUCAAAUAGUAAUAUAAUGUAAACACAUACUUAAUUCUAAAUGUGAGAUUUGAAAUAUCAGCACUCUCUUUGCACUCACAACUCCUUAAUCACCUUAAUCAAAAUAAUCCUAUGUGUAGGAUAGCUUUUCAUCUGUUUCCUGCAAACUUAUUAUUUUUAGGUAUUUAUGGCUCUAAUCCUACAGAUAGCACCUCAGGUUUGUCAGGUUCCUGGAUAGAAGCUCAAUCUGGUAUUCUCUUAAUCUUUCUGCUUAAUCAGUUUAGUUUAACAUCUGCUAGCUUGGAUUCUAACAAUGUUUUACUAAAUAGUGACCUGUGGUAGCCAACUCAGAGCUAAGACUUUAAAUGCAUUUUGCCAUGGAUAAGAAUUAGACAAAACUGUAAAAGUUCAAUUAACUCAUUAAAAAUCUUUUCCCUAAUGUUUACAAGGACCUCAGAUAUUUUGUGGCAUUUUUGUCACAUAUAUUUUUUUAAAUGUACAUGAAUUACUCUAUAUUUUGUAUGUCUUUAUAUAUCUAUCUUUAUUGAUAUAGAGAUGACCUCUAUAUGUAUACACAUAUAUGUAUAUAUAACACACUUGAAAAUUUAUUUUUUGUUGCUAGUGAAAUCAUUAUUUGCCAUUGCAGAGAUCCGUGUCAGACCAGAACAGAAAAUCUAUCGUAGUUGUCUUUUCAACUUCCAGGAAAAUUCUCAAUUUCUUUUGACAACUACUCAAAUUUUCUGCCAAUUUGAUUCUUUCUCUGAUGCCUGCUGAAAUCUGACAGACCUCCUUUAGUUUUAUAAGUUUGUCUAUUUUACAAGUUAGCACCAUCCCUCUCUGAUUAUGUUGUUUUAAUCUGCUUUUAUCUAGAAGUAGCCAUGAAACAACUCUAUGUCUAUGUCUAUAACCCUAUCCAAUUUAAUUUUUAUUUUUUAUAAGUCGAAUUUUCAUAUGUCAAAUUAUCUAUUUUUUGUCUUGUGUGAGGCAAGUGCAAAGUGAUGAUAAUUAGCAACCCAUACCUCAAAGCUGUUAAAAACUCCAUUAGUUUUAUAGUGACAGGGUGAUCCAGUCAUGGCUUUGGACAUGCAACAGUUAGAAUUUACUAGCUGCUGACCACUGCUCAGUUCUUAGAUGCAGCAGGGGUGUACGCUGCCUUAGGACAUGCUUUGAUUUCAUGUGCUUCAGCAAAACUGGAACAUGAGACAACACAGAUGAUAACAAUAUCUCCUAUCACUCAUUAAAUAGCAUAUUUUAAAUUUGGAGAAAAUUUUGCAUUAAAUGUUUCUCAUUACUAUUGCCAAUACAAAGCUAAUGUGUAAGACAAUGGUUAGCACAUUAAUCAUCCAGAGAGUAGAGGAAACGUCCUAGCACAGCUGACUAAGCUGAGGGAUUCUGGAGAAUGUUUGCACCAUGAAUUAGUCACCCUUUGACAGUCAUAGAACUGGCUUGCACUGGCAGAGAGGUAGCUGGCUUUGGAGUUGACUAUUUUUAGUAUGAAUACAUAAAGAUGACUAGCACUGCAUCAUGACUUGGAGUUAACAAGUAGCAUUUGUCAGAAAUGCAAUGUUCAACGGAAUUUAAGAAAUAUAAGUGAUUGCAUCUAUGUCUAACAAAUUUACCACUGAGAGGAAGUGAUUUAGCACACAGGACAGCAUCUAGGUAUGAAGAAAUAAUGAGUUUGUGAACAGAGAGAAACAAAUGUGUCUCAAAAUGGUCAUCAAAGAACAGAAAAUAAUGAAAUGAGCCAGAAAGAUCAUCCUAUUACAAACUGUCCCGCUAUCUAUCAUUGCACAAGUUAAAAAUACGUACGGUAGAAGUAGGUGUAUGUAUGAACUGCAUCACAUCUCAACAGGGUGGGAGAGACUUGAGAACAAAGAAUGAAGGGUGCACUUUGUGUUAAGUAUAAGAAAGAUAUGAAAGAUAUAAAGCAGUUAGAUGAGGUGUUGAAGAAGACAUAUGAAAUACAUCUGCCUCUUUGUGCUGGUACACUUUUUGCCAAGCAGAAUAAAUAUUAUGAAGACAACAAUUGGUGCCUGAAAGAAGGAACAGAAAAAAAAAAACAAAACAAACCAGUAUAAGUAAUAUGGAAACCCCUAAAUUACUCAAUCUUCAUGUACAGAAACAAUUCAUAUUUCAAAAUUCAGAGAGGAAGUUCAAGUUCAGCUUCUAGUCCACAAAGGAGCUGAGCAAUACUUGGAUAGAGCAGAAUAUAGAAUGGUAAAAUACUCAACCAACUUAUAUGACAAUAAGAGGGGGAAAAAAGAAGAAAUAAAAGGAGUUGUUUGAGAGCAAUAGAUAUAAGCUGUCAUAAAAUAGAAAUAUUAUUUCCUAUUUCACAUGCAAAUUGCCUGCAGAUUUGCUUCUUUUGCACUAAUUCACUUUAUUCUAACUUAGAUUAUUUGAGGAGAAACGCUAUUUUAUCACCAGCAAGUACUGACUACAUAAGGGAGCUUGUUCUUCACACUCUGUAGUACUGCACUAAGAGUAACCGCCUGUGGGGAAUGCAUGGUCUCAUUCUCACCUGAAAACCUUUGCAGUUGCUGGCUUCACAGCACUACUUGAAGCAGACCUGAUUGAUCUUCUGUUGAAAUAAUAAAAUGAGAAAACACUUUUCCACAAGAUGCCUCAAAGUCAUUCAGUCACAGAAUUCCACCAACAUACCACGCACAAUCAAUAGUUGCCCAAGUAAAAUAGAUGCUCAUUUGCCAUUUACCCUCAGCUGUUUCUGAAGAGUAUGAAAGCUGAUUACUCAAAUAAGUUUAUGCCAGUGAUUGAUCAUUUCUGCUAAUGACCACAACUCUUCUUCUAUGGGGAAUAGAAAAAGUAGUACAACAAAACCAAAUCAAAAGUCAGAAGUUUUUGGUAAUAUCUCUGCUAAGUAUUAUUCACCAAUCUUGAACUGGAAUGCGGAUGCAAAAAAAUCCUUAUUUACUCAGGAUUCACUUAGAACUUAGUAACAUUUCAGAAUGCUACUGGGAAAAGUGCAGCAGGAUUCUGUUUACUGUUUUUUACAGUAUAAAUAAUUCAGAGAGUAACAGUACUUUUAAUAAAUCUAGCUAUGCCACUGAAGUCUAAGAACACUAUGCCACAGCUUAGAACUACAAAAAAAAAAAAAAAAAAAAAGCAGAAAAUCAUUUGUCAACAGUGCAGUAAUCUUGUUAUUACGUGCCAGGUAGGUUUUGUAUUUGGUUCAAAUUGCUUUGUUCUUUGGAAAAUGCUACUGGAUAAAAUAUAUUUGGCCAGUAAAGUAACUAGAGAAAUUAUUGUUGUGGGAAGGAAAUAACUGGAUCAGUCUACCUAUAAUAAAAUUAAUCUGAAACUCAGCCCAACAAUAAGCAAAUCUAGUAUUUUAAAUGUUUAAAAGUUUCUGUGAGGUUAUUUCUCAUAUCUCAAUGCUUCUGUUUCAGCCAGAACUGAAAUUGGAAAUGCCAAAGUACUGUGAGAAGGGCUGUUCUGUAUUACAGCUGACCCAAAUGAAACAAGGAAGUACUGCAGAAGCACAGGACAGUCUAUUUGAAGGAGGCUGCCAUCCAGUUUCCAGACUACAGAAGUUUGGAUGAGGUCGGAUAAACUCUGGAAACUGUUAAACUUCUGGAUGUAUAUCUGAACUGAACCACCAGAUCUUUGUGACUCAUGCUUUACUGAUGCCCACUUUUUGUGGAGAUGAGUAGAAAUAAAAUAGUUUUACUUUGGGAAAGAAUGUAGGAAACGUUGCACAAACCAGAAGAUUGCUUGCAUUAUCCUGAAGAUUAGAAAUGGAUUAUAAUCUCUAAUUCUGAUUGCACUGAACAAGUUAAGUAAAGAGUAGCUGGAUAGCUGGGCUGAAGCCAACGGGAUGAGUUUCAACAAGGCUAAAUGCUGGGUCCUACACUUUGGCCACAACAACCCCAGGCAAUGCUACAGGCUUGGGGCAGAGUGGCUGGAAGCCUACAUAGAGGAAAUGGGCCUGGGGGUAUUGAUUGACGCUCAGCUGAACAGGAGCCAGCAGUGUGCCCAGGUGGCCAAGAGGCUUGCAUCAGAAACAGCGUUGCCAGCAGGAACAGGGAAAUGAUUCCCCCCCCUGUACUCAGCUCUGGUGAGGCCACACCUUGUGUACUAUGUUCAGUUUUAGGCACCUCACUGCAAAACAUUGAAGCCCUUGAGUAGGUUCAAAGAAGGGCAACAAAGCUCAUGAGGAGUCUGGAGCACACGGCUUAUGAGUAGUAGCACAUGGCUAAGGGAGCUGGGAUUGUUCCAUCUGGAGAAGAGGGAGCUCAGGGGAGACCUUAUCGCUCUCUGAAACUACAUGAAGGGAGGCUGUAGCGAUAGAACUAGAGGAAACGGCUUCAAGCUGCACCAGGGAAGAUUUAGGCUGGAUGUUAGGAAAUACUACUUUUCUGAAAGAGUGGUCAGGUGCUAGAAUGGGCUGCCCAGGGAGGUGGUGGAGUCACCAGCCCUGGAGGUGUUCAAGGAACAUUUGGAUUUUGUGUUGAGGGAUAUGGUUUAGUGAGAACUAUCAAUGAUGGGUGAAUGGUUAGACUGGAUGAUCUUGUAGGACUUCCCCAAGCUUAGUGUUUCUGUGAUUCUGUGCAUAUGCCCUUGAAGUCAAUUGAGAUAAACUGGUUCAUCUGGAAGGCAACUUCUGUGAUAUCUGUUAAUGACAUGCAGCUAAAUUGGAGACAUUCUGGGCCUUACUUAUCCAUCACCUAAACUGCAAUUGCUUCAAUGAUAGAUAUUUCAUUAGGAAUAGAGUUGGUUCACUAAUCCUAGUUUGUUUCAUUUUUCUCCCCAGUUGAUGUUGUUCUGCCAGAGUUUAUAAUGGUGACUGUGUUGGAGCAACAUUUAUGGUCACAGUGGCUUAGUCUCUCACAGUCGUAUCUGUUGUCUAUUUGCAAAUCAAAGCUUGACUUGUAAAUCCAGAAUUACAGAAUCACAUAAAUAGGUAUCAUAUAGUUUUGGGCUUGAAAAUGAAAGCUGUGACCUGGCUUUGCUCAUUAAAAACAGAUGUUUUUCAUCUCCUUGAAGUCUUAACACAAACCAGCACUAUGAAUAAGGUGCUCUCUCUUGUCAGUAAGCACUUACUUUAGAACUUUAUUGUAUUUUGAUUAUUUAAAUAAUCAAAUGCUUACAUUAAUAUUCUUAAGCAAAAUCUUAGCCUAAUUUUUUCAUGUAUAUAACCUAGAAAAUAGAUAUGGGGAAAUGCCUUCAUUCUAUACUCAGUUUACAAAGCCACAGGGGGUGGGAUCUUUCAAGGAACUGGACUGGAGCAACACACAAAACCCAGAAGUCACCCUUGCAAUGUUUCAGAGGUGGCAGAUCAGAUACAAAGUUACCUUAGAGUUUCUGUAGCUCUGGAGCAUACCGCUCAAGAUCAUCACUGGGGUUUGCCGCCAGCUGCUAUCAUUCUCAGUGACCCUAGGAAGUGCUGUCCCACAUUUCUGCAUGCAAUGAGUGGAGGGGUGAAGACAUGGCCCAGCUAAUCCCUGUUGCUCAUGCCAGUGCUGAGAAGGAAGUCUUCACCCAGCAGGCUCAUUCAUCUCAGCCAGCAAAUCCAGUGUUUGCUGGGGAGUGCGCUCCAGCCAAGCUUGCCAUGGCCAGAGCACGGUGCAGAAGGGAAGCUGCUCCAAGCUGAAUGGCCUCUUUGUUCUCUGCCACAGCCACUGCACUCGCAACUCCAGCAGAUACAACAGGGGCUGUAUGAGAGCCGAAUGGAAAUGAGAUGCUGGCUCCCCUGAAAACAUUCUACUUCUUUCCAUUAAAGCUGCAGAGGAAUUCUGGCAACCGAAAAACAGUCCUUCCUAUCCAGCAAUAUUUUCCUGUCUGUAACAGCCUAAGAAACCAAAAGCACAGACUGAAGCUAAAAUACAGAGUAGAUGAGCAUGUAUGGGCACUUUAUAUGUUGGUUGGCUACUCUGCAAAACAGAACCACAGCCUGCUGGCAAAUUAAAGGCAAAAAAAUCAUACAGAGGCUGCAGGCUACCUGCAAAUCUUUGAAUUCACCCAAGCAUGAGCAGAACUGCAAGGCACCCAGGACACAUCAUUCGCUAAACAAUUUAAUGUGCUUCUGCCACAAAGUUAAAUAGUUUAACUCCUGAUCUGUACACCUUUAUCAGCAUCGUUAUGGGUCCAAAUGCACAUCUGAUAAUUAAGAAAGCUGUGAAAAAAUGAUGAGUUUGAUUUCUUCCAAGCUGGGGUAAACUGGCAGCAAGCAAUGGGAUGCCAUAUCUUCUAAUAAAUGCUACGGGUUUUCCUUUUCAUCAUCUGCUUAGCUAGAGUUCGUCUAUUAAUGAAGAAUCCUCUACUUUCAUAAUUCAUUUUGGAAAAACAAUAUUCAGAGUGCUUUUCUCAAAACCCUUUCCUAUAUAGACCCCAUUCAUACCUACAGUGACAUAAAAUGCCAAAAUUCAUUUGCAAGUGAGACUUCAGGCCAGUCAGUUUAGAGAAAACAACUGUACAGCAGAUGAGAAACAGGAAUUGUAUCACAUUAAAUAUAAAAUAUGUUCCUAUUGGUGGCAUAAAACAACUUUGAAAAACAAGUCAUGUAAUUAAAAGAGCAGUGUUUGCAGUAGCAGAGUUACUUGCUAUUAUCAGUGCUGAUUUGCUCAUCACCUAGCUAGGUGUUGCUUAAUUCUAAUGUGUAUAUCCUGGUGGUAAAAGUUCACAGAAGAUUUUAGAUGCGGUGUUUCCUAUAGCCUACACAACCUCUGUGCUGGAUCUUUCAGUUGAUUACAGUCAUGGAAAAAAAAAAACAAAAAAAAACAAUCACAUGAAAAAUCUCAUGACUUCGUUUUGGAAAUGCUUAUGUCUCAAGCCCUUAUUCAAGGGAAAAAUCCCAUUGGUGUAAAUAAAUACAGGAUGUGGAAUAUAUAGAAUCCUUGCUUUGUAACAGUUCACACAAGCUUCAGCUGCACGUUUACUCGGGGAAAUAAAGGAAAGCUAAGAAA